UACCAAUGGCAAGUAGAGAUAUAUGCCUCCUAAACAAGAGACAACCUCUUCUAGACGCAUGGACUAUAUAAAACUUUCCCUUUGGCCUGACUGGGGAUCAAGCAAGCCUACCCUGGAUUGAUCAUAGUUACCAGCGAAUGCUAUAUCCUGACUUAGCCUAAUUAGGAUCUACCUCUGUACCGGGGAAAGGGUCAAGAUUCUAUGGAAUUACCUUAUUAUUCAGAUCACUGAAGUACAGCAUGCUAUUGACCAACUUAGAAAAUUGGAUACUGACAAAAUGAAACGGAUAACAGAAAUUAAGAUGAGAAAACAAGCAGUUUCAGAAUUACGCACGUUGAAAGCUGAACUGGCACAGAAGAAAUUUAUUACAUCUUUUCAAUCUCAAUAAGGAUCAUUCUGGGCAGUCUUCCUGAUGCCAUCACAGCCUCUGCCUGAACCCCAACAGGAAGGUCCAAAGCAGCAGGUGCAAACCCAGACGGGGAAAACUGGUGGAUUACUCUGUGUCCAGAAAAAUGGAGCUCAAGGCCACAAACAGAUACACCAUCCCAGGGAACCUUGCUGUCUUCCCCUAUCUGACCAUGGGGCUGCUAGCUAUUGGCUGGUUCUUCACUCGCUGGUACUUUGUUUAUGAAGCCACCUCCACCAAGCACGCUCAUGAUAUGUACAAAAAGCUUCUCAUCUCCUUGGUGGCCUUGCUAUUCAUUGACUUUGGAGUUCUCUUCCUGUUACUCUGGGUUGGCAUCUACAUAUGAGCUCCUAAGGGAUCCAACCAGGUAGAUUCAUUGAAUCUUGGUUUUUGUAAAUUAUUUUUUUUAACUGUUGCUGGAAGUGUCCCACCUGCUGCUCACAGUAAAGGCAGAUAAAGAGAGAGAGAGAAGAAAGAAAGAAAGAAAGAAGAAAGGAAGAAGAAGAAGAAGAAGAGAAAGAAAGAAAGCAAGAAAGAAAGAGAGAGAGAGAGAAAGAAAGAAGAAAGAAAGAGGAGGAAGGGACGGAGGGAAGGAGGAAAGAAGGAAGGAAGGAAUUAGGAAGGAAAGAAAGAAAUCCUGAAUAGGAACUUCAGAAUAAGUUUGAUGCUGGUAAGCUGCCCAGCAUUGCCCCUGACCUUCAGAACUAGGACCACGUCAUCCUCAUAGCAUUUACUCAGGGCCACAGCUGCAAAGUCAUGGAAACCUGCAAAGCAAGCCCAUCAUCAGACAAUAAAAAUCAUAAUAGCACUUAUGAUGUGCCAGGCACUGUUGAUUUAGUCAUUAAAAAAACCCAAAAAAGCAAAACUACCUUUUGUGGUAAUGCUAUUAUUAUCCCCCAUUAGAAUUCUCUAAAAAGGCCCCCCAAAUACCCAUAAGUAAUACAUGAAUCAGAGUUUAUCCAAAAUAAAUGUCAUAAGCUUCCGGCUAGCCCUAAUCUGCACUCCAUUAAAUAUGGCUUUGCCUGUGCUGAUGACACUAGUUGUUAGUUAAUUCUAAGGGAAGGAAACCAAGUCAGUGUUUAGGGUGUGGACUGACAGAUGGGUUAGCAAUUCAAAUCUUUCUCAAGUCAGGGGUUUUUAUUUUAUCUCCACAGCUACAGCCUAUGUACAGCACCCCACCUCUCAGUCCCCCAUUUCUAGAGC